rnacentral:rRNA from 1 species
CCUACGGGUGGCUGCAGUGGGGAAUAUUGGGCAAUGGGCGCAAGCCUGACCCAGCAACGCCGCGUGAAGGAAGAAGGCUUUCGGGUUGUAAACUUCUUUUCUCAGGGACGAAGAAAGUGACGGUACCUGAGGAAUAAGCCACGGCUAACUACGAGCAAGCAGCCGCGGUAAUACGUAGGUGGCAAGCGUUAUCCGGAUUGAUUGGGUGUAAAGGGCGAGUAGGUGGGAGCGCAAGUCAGAUGUGAAAAUUCAGGGCUCAACCCUGAGCCUGCAUUUGAAACUGGGUUUCUUGAGUGCUGGAGAGGCAAGCGGAAUUCCGGGUGUAGCGGUGAAAUGCGUAGAUAUAAGGAGGAACACCAGUUGCGAAGGCAGAUUGCUGGACAGUAACUGACGCUGAGGCGCGAAAGCGUGGGGAGCAAACAGGAUUAGAUACCCCAGUAGUC